rnacentral:rRNA from 1 species
GACGAACGCUGGCGGCGUGCUUAACACAUGCAAGUCGAACGGUGAAGCCCCAGCUUGCUGGAGUGGAUCAGUGGCGAACGGGUGAGUAACACGUGAGCAACCUGCCCCUGACUCUGGAAUAAGCGCUGGAAACGGCGUCUAAUACUGGAUACGAGAAGGGUCCGCAUGGGCACUUUCUGGAAAGUUUUUCGGUUGGGGAUGGGCUCGCGGCCUAUCAGCUUGUUGGUGAGGUAAUGGCUCACCAAGGCGACGACGGGUAGCCGGCCUGAGAGGGCGACCGGCCACACUGGGACUGAGACACGGCCCAGACUCCUACGGGAGGCAGCAGUGGGGAAUAUUGCACAAUGGGCGAAAGCCUGAUGCAGCGACGCCGCGUGAGGGAUGACGGCCUUCGGGUUGUAAACCUCUUUCAGCAGGGAAGAAGCGAAAGUGACGAUACCUGCAGAAGAAGCACCGGCUAACUACGUG